CUGUUUCGCCAGAUAAUGUGUUCUUUAUGUAGUAUCAAAGUCCUCAAUACACUCCAUUUUAUCAGCUCAGAUCGCACGGAAAAGGUGAACAUAUUUGACGAUGUGGUGAUAUUUAAGUGUUAACAACAAGUUCGUGACAUAUGGAGAUGGCAGAAGAUGGUAGUGAAUAUAAUGAGUCAGUUUCCCCAAAAGACCCCCGGCAAAGUACAUCAUCCUGUCACUACUACACACCAGGUCACUUGGCGAAUAUUUCUGAGGAGACAUUAAGAGUUAUGGACCUGUUGGGGAAUGGACCACAUGUCCGACAGGCCCGGAGAGACGCUUACAGGGAGGAGGAUAGUCUACGCACUAGACGUGAUCGUUUUAAGGGCUUCACGAACAUCACAACGGGUAGCAAGGGCGAGGGUCUUACCUGCUGUUUUAAGAGUGAUUCAGAUGUAAUGCGUGUAAUAGAUAACGUAAUGUGCGUAGAAGAUGGUGUUAAUUGUAACAACAUUUCGAGAGAGAUUACCUUUAUGAUAUUAAAUUUUCGUUAUUAUUAUCAUGGUCACUGUAAGCUGCGUUUAGGGAGACGCGAUCAGUUUAUUCAUCCAUUUGUGAGAAGAGCCUUAUGGAAUGAUGAAUAUCUGAGCAAAGAGUAGUUUCCCCAUGUAUGUCCUCCAGGUAUAAUCAGGUUAGGUGAACAACGCCAUCCUCGUGAAGGACCGUCAAUGCCGUCUACACUGACGCAGGAGUCGUUCAUCAAGGCACAGUAUUCUCCCUUCGUUGUGUUUGUCCCCGUAUCUUGCAAAAAUGGGCUUUAAGAGUCCGGCAUUGGCCUCCACCGGAUGUAGUUCAGAAAGUAGUGUCAUUGGGGGCAUAUGUUACUCCAGUUGGCUUCAAAGGUAGCGAGCAUAGGCACUUAGAAUGAAUGGAGGAUUUGUUUUAACACUGGUGAAACUGAGCUAGAAGGCAACCUUAAUGAUGUUCAAAUUAAAUAUAGAUUAUUUUCAAAAUGAUUGUCAAAGAUGUACUUAAUCCACAGAAAAAGGAAAUUACAUCGUACACUCUGAAAAACAUUGUACUAUGGCUGGCUGAGAACAAUCAUCAGACUGUGUUUGAUAAAAGAAGUUUAUUUUACUGUUUGCAUAAAGCAAUGAUUAGUCUAAAAGCGGCUAUAGACACAUUACAACUGAAAUAUUAUAUGAUACCCGAGAGAAACCUGAUGGCAGGAUGUGAAAUCAGUGACGAGCAGCGGCAGACAUGGAUAGCGACUAUCGCGGAGAUGAUAGAUGAAGGCCCAAGGGUACUACUAAGACUUCCGAAGAUACGGCGAGCGAUCAUUGCACACCCAGAGCCUCUUCAGUGGUUUAACAAGAUGAGGACUAUGCAUGAGAUGGUGACGCUGAUAUCUUUAAUCAGAAUAGCGCAAUGCGAAGCUGCUGGCGUCGCUAUUACAUCUGAUAGCUUUUUCCAGAUGACUGCACAAUCUGAAGUCAUAAUACUAAGUGAAAUAUUCCAGAGGAUGAUCAUGAAAGGAAGUCGUGUUAACGGCCAAUGCAAUUUGCGAUUAAGAGUUUUAAUGUAAACAUUCUGUGCUAUUUAUAUGCUUAGCAUAUACAAUUUAUUUUAUGUAAAAAGGAAAUGGAUCGUUUCUGAAGAAAAAUGUACUAAGAUUUAUUUUUAUGUGUUUAUAUGAAAUAAUCAUGAGCAAUCAAAUGACUCAUAUAUACAAAUACUAUACGUUGUCUAUUAUGAAACGUUAAGUCCAUCCCAAUACUAAAAGGGGCCGUCCAACAGAUGGUACAUUGACAAAAUUAUAAAAAGUUGUUUCAGAUUCGCAAAUUUUCGUUUUAGUUAUGAUAUUUUUGAGGUAAUAGUAAUACUGACCAUAUACCAUGCUCUUAAAUAUCUAUUAUAUGCAUCUUUUGAUGAUCUGAAAACCUGAAAAUUAUAAAGCGUCGUGCGAAUAAUUUGGUAAGUUCUGUUGUUGUCGUUUUAUUUUGGGAUACUACGAGGACUGCUUAUAUAAGUAACAAAUACAUCCGCUCUAAGCAUGAGCACUGGAUGGUCGAUUGGUCUAGGCGGGAGACUUUUUACUCCAGGAUUCCAGGGGUCAGUGGUUCGAGACCUGUUGAGGGUUGCCUUUUUUUUCCUUUUUUAAAAUUGUAUUCUUGUUAUUUUUACUGGAGAUUUUUAGUUCAAUUGUUUAGAUUUAUCAAUAUAAAUCAUUUAAUGACAAGCUUCAAUACAUGCCAAAAUCUGUUGGACGGCCUCUUUGAAUGACGUCUUUGAAUGAAAUUUUAAUUACAAUUGUAUUAAACUAGGGGUUAAAUUGAAAUUUCAGCGUUGGUUGAUCGUGUUUCUUUUAUACUUGAUUUUUAUAAGAAUGAAUAUCCUGAUAAUGCCCCUGGAGUUUCAUUUUCUCUAUGUUGAGAUAUAUAUUUGUUUAAAAAAUAUUAUUAUUGAACUGGAUUGUAAUAACGAAUUCUAUUUUGGCAUUUGUCAAGUUGCGACUAUUUGGCUGUUAUUGUCUUUUGCAUAUGAUUUAAAAUGUCUUUGAAACUGUAAACUAAUGAAAAUAAAUUAUCAUUGCAAGUUUGA